rnacentral:tRNA from 1 species
UCCCUGGUGGCUCAAACAGUAAAGCGUCCGUCUGCAAUACAGGAGACCCAGGUUCAAUCCCUGGGUUGGGAA